rnacentral:rRNA from 1 species
GACGAACGCUGGCGGCGUGCUUAACACAUGCAAGUCGAACGGUGAAGCGCCUUCCUUUUUGGUGGGUGUGGAUGAGUGGCGAACGGGUGAGUAACACGUGAGUAACCUGCCCCCUUCUUCUGGAUAACCGCAUGAAAGUGUGGCUAAUACGGGAUAUUCUGGGUCUGUCGCAUGAUGGGUCUGGGAAAGAUAUUGUUUCGGUGGGGGAUGGGCUCGCGGCCUAUCAGCUUGGUGGUGGGGUGGUGGCCUACCAAGGCGGUGACGGGUAGGCGGGCUGGGAGGGUGGGAGGUCACACUGGGAAUGAAGCACCGCCCAGACUACGUCGGGAAGCAGCAGGGGGGAAUUGUGGAACAUGGGAGGAAGGCUGAAGCCACGACGCCGCGGUGAGGAAGGAGGCCUUCGGGUUGGGAACCUCUUUCGGCAAGGAAGGCGGGCUGGCUCGUUUUUUGGUGGGUUGACGGUAGCUGGAGAAGAAGCGCCGGCUAACUACGUG